CAGCUGUCGUUGGAAUUGGUGCUUGGAGUGCUGGCGAAUGCUGGUGAAUGAAGUCGGCCUAAACACCGCGAUGAGAAGAGGUGUUUUCGUGAGAGGUAUGAUGGAGAGGAAGUUUUCAGUGGUGCCCAAAACAUUAUACAGAAGCAGGAAGUCCUUCAUGGAAGCACCAUCAGAAGUAGAAGAAUACUUGGUACACACAAGUGGAUUUUCCUGAAAGCUAUAAUGGCAUGAACAGUUUCUAAUAAUGGGAAUGUCAGGCGUCCUGAUGAAAGAUUUCCUGGCAACUGUAGUACAACAGAUAGAGAGAUGCUUGAAGGCUGCUUCUCAAUUGAAGGAAAAUGGUCAAAAAUGUAGGAACAAAUGCUUUUAGCUUAUUCAGUGAUGAGUUGGAACACUUCGUCAGUGCUGCCUGACAAAUGUGGAUGACCUGUAACUGGAAGGAAGUGUAACACCCAAAGAGUUUUUGUGGCUUGGAGUGGGACGCCACGCUUUUCAAAGCCUGCUGAAACAGCUGCUGCAAUUUUGUUUAGCAGAUACUGUUUUCAGAAACUGCAUGUGAACCAAAAUCACUGUCUCUGCAUAUUUAAAAUAGUGCUUUUCCCAAAACAUUGAGCUGCCCUCUGUAGGAAGGAUAGCAGCGAUAUUAGGGAAAUGAGUGUUGAGCUUCAAUACAUGGAAAAAACCCUGAGACUAUUUGCCCUUUUAAAAUAUUAUAAGGUUGUACAGACUUGUUGAUACUGAAAAUCUGUAAUAA